GUCGAGCGAGGAAAGUAGCUUGCUACUCUAGCCUAACGGCGGACGGGUGAGUAAUGCUUAGGAAUCUGCCUAUUAGUGGGGGACAACAUCUCGAAAGGGAUGCUAAUACCGCAUACGUCCUACGGGAGAAAGCAGGGGACCUUCGGGCCUUGCGCUAAUAGAUGAGCCUAAGUCGGAUUAGCUAGUUGGUGGGGUAAAGGCCUACCAAGGCGACGAUCUGUAGCGGGUCUGAGAGGAUGAUCCGCCACACUGGGACUGAGACACGGCCCAGACUCCUACGGGAGGCAGCAGUGGGGAAUAUUGGACAAUGGGGGGAACCCUGAUCCAGCCAUGCCGCGUGUGUGAAGAAGGCCUUUUGGUUGUAAAGCACUUUAAGCGAGGAGGAGGCUACCGAGAUUAAUACUCUUGGAUAGUGGACGUUACUCGCAGAAUAAGCACCGGCUAACUCUGUGCCAGCAGCCGCGGUAAUACAGAGGGUGCAAGCGUUAAUCGGAUUUACUGGGCGUAAAGCGCGCGUAGGUGGCCAAUUAAGUCAAAUGUGAAAUCCCCGAGCUUAACUUGGGAAUUGCAUUCGAUACUGGUUGGCUAGAGUAUGGGAGAGGAUGGUAGAAUUCCAGGUGUAGCGGUGAAAUGCGUAGAGAUCUGGAGGAAUACCGAUGGCGAAGGCAGCCAUCUGGCCUAAUACUGACACUGAGGUGCGAAAGCAUGGGGAGCAAACAGGAUUAGAUACCCUGGUAGUCCAUGCCGUAACGAUGUCUACUAGCCGUUGGGGCCUUUGAGGCUUUAGUGGCGCAGCUAACGCGAUAAGUAGACCGCCUGGGGAGUACGGUCGCAAGACUAAAACUCAAAUGAAUUGACGGGGGCCCGCACAAGCGGUGGAGCAUG
rnacentral:rRNA from 1 species